rnacentral:rRNA from 1 species
UUCCAGACUCCUACGGGAGGCAGCAGUGAGGAAUAUUGGUCAAUGGCCGGAAGGCUGAACCAGCCAAGUCGCGUGAGGGACGACUGCCCUAUGGGUUGUAAACCUCUUUUAUAAGGGAAGAAUAAAUGCUACGUGUAGCAUGAUGCCUGUACCUUAUGAAUAAGCAUCGGCUAACUCCGUGCCAGCAGCCGCGGUAAUACGGAGGAUGCGAGCGUUAUCCGGAUUUAUUGGGUUUAAAGGGUGCGUAGGCUGUGAGGUAAGUCAGCGGUGAAAUGCCCCCGCUCAACGGGGUGAAGUGCCAUUGAUACUGCCUUGCUGGAAUGCGGAUGCCGUGGGAGGAAUGUGUGGUGUAGCGGUGAAAUGCAUAGAUAUCACACAGAACACCGAUUGCGAAGGCAUCUCACGAAUCCGCGAUUGACGCUGAUGCACGAAAGCGUGGGGAGCAAACAGGAUUAGAUACCCGAGUA